GCUCUCCUGACACUGAAGAAAAUCACCUUUCCUUUCACAUCUCUGUGAGGCUCAGUAGCUGGAAGUGUGGCUGCACUGCAGCGUUACAAAUUGAAUAGGCUGGUUGAGGAUCCAGCUUCAGUUAAACUUCAAGCUGCCCGAUUGCUCAGUACAGACUGUUGGGCUGUUACCUCUUGCUGCCACUGGGAGCCACCACUGUACAAAGCUGAUGCUUCCCUCACCAUUCACCCACCAACCUGUUCAUGCCAGGAAGGUUACCCCAGAAGUAGCGGGCGCGGUGGGCAGCUGAC